UCUUAGUGGCGGACGGGUGAGUAACGCGUGGGUAACCUGCCUUAUACAGGGGAGUAACACUUAGAAAUAGGUGCUAAUACCGCAUAAGCGCACGGGGCUGCAUGGCCCAGUGUGAAAAACUCCGGUGGUAUAAGAUGGACCCGCGUCUGAUUAGCUUGUUGGCGGGGUAACGGCCCACCAAGGCGACGAUCAGUAGCCGGCCUGAGAGGGUGGACGGCCACAUUGGGACUGAGACACGGCCCAAACUCCUACGGGAGGCAGCAG
rnacentral:rRNA from 1 species